UCCCGGAUCGUCUAGCGGCAGGACACCUGAUUCUGGAUCAGGGAACUGAGGUUCGAAUCCUUGUCCGGGAG
rnacentral:tRNA from 1 species